UCACUUCAUCCCCUUCCAAAGCCCAGGCAGCCUCGAGAAACCUUCUAAGCGGGUCCCAGGCAGAACUCUCUUAGAAGGAGAACAUCCUAAAAUGCUAAGACUGCAAAUGGGAAUUCAGAGAAGCAGAAGACUUCUCAGGAAUGUCCAAAUCACAAUAAUUAAAUAAGCAAGAUACCCUAACCUAUAGUCUAGGGCCCAGGACUAGUCUGGUUCUGACAGGCUUUUCCUUCAUCGGUGGCCUUUGACUCCAGCUGACUUCGAGAGACUUAUUCCUCUAGGAUAGCCUGCACAUCCCAUUGAUGAAUCUGCUAAGUCAGAGAAGGAUCUGCGUCCUUGCCCGGUGGAGAGUAGAAAACCAAGAGAAGGGAAGUGAUGGAUCAGGAAUUUGUCCCUCAUGGACUAUCCCUUUCCUGUCUGUGGAGCCUUCCAGGAAGGAAGGAAGGCGGCAAUGAGAACACCAGCAAGGAAGGAAGGCGGCAAUGAGAACAAUCUGGCUAAUGAGGUUAAACUCAAACAACAGAUCUGGUGAAGGAGGUUCCUUUGCCCUCCCUGGAACGUCCAUAGGCCUUUCUUUCUUCAUGGUACCUAUCUUGUCAUGCUGUAGACAAUUAAAAUUUUUAACGUAGACCAACACAGACGCAUCCUGCAUCCUGCUCUUGAAGGAUAUGCAGGAUGUCCUGCAGCAAGGCAAAGUAUGGAAAGCAAGAGCAGAGAAGAGCAGCAGAGUCCUGAAGAAAACAGACAUGGAGUGCAGGGGA
rnacentral:lncRNA from 1 species